CAUUUACAAAAAAAAUAGUUUAAAAAAACCUCCAGUAGACUCUAUUCCAGCUAAUUCCUGUAACCUCUCUUCUUCCCAAAGGUCCCAAGAACUCAACAAUACACAGUCGAAUCGGAUUCGAGCAUCACAAAACACACAAUAUCUCUCUGAAUUCUUCAAUACCAAUUUCGUAUUUAUCUUUUUACACCACCAUGACAUCACCCAAAAAGCCACCACCAGAAUCCGACCGUCCACUCACGGCGAUCAUGCACCAACCGGCAUCUCCUCGUUUCCAUUUAGGAACUCCCACUUCCGGUGCUAAUCGGAAGGUUGCUAUCGCCGUCGAUCUUAGUGACGAAAGUGCUUAUGCUGUCAAAUGGGCUGUGCAAAAUUACCUCCGACCAGGUGACGCCGUUAUACUCCUUCACGUCCGUCCAACUUCGGUACUUUAUGGAGCUGAUUGGGGUGCUAUUGAUGUUUCUGUUGACACUGCAAAUGAAGAAUCACAGCGGAAACUGGAAGAUGAUUUUGAUAACUUCACAACUACGAAAUCGAAUGAUUUAGCUCAGCCACUUGUGGAGGCUAAUAUUCCAUUCAAGAUUCAUAUUGUGAAGGAUCAUGAUAUGAAGGAAAGGUUGUGUUUGGAAGUUGAGAGGUUGGGUUUGAGUGCUGUUAUAAUGGGGAGUAGAGGGUUUGGUGCAUCAAGGCGUAGCCCGAAAGGAGGGAUGCUUGGUAGUGUGAGUGAUUAUUGUGUGCAUCAUUGUGUUUGCCCUGUUGUUGUUGUUAGAUAUCCUGAUGAUAAAGAUGCUACUACUGGCAAUGACUCGGUCACAGAUGUGCUUCACCCUGUACCUGAGGAGGAGCCUAUAUACCAUGAUGCCUCCGAUAAAACCGCAGUAAGGUGACUCCGAUUCCACCAUUCAACUUAAAAACAAUGCUUCUUCAGCCCUGACAAUCUAGCAUAGGCUUCGGAUGUACUCUAGCUGAAAACCAGGCUUUUGACCCUUUCUGAUUCGGAGAAGGCUUCUUGAAUAAGUUGAAGGUGAAGAGAUAUUUGAGUACUGUUGAGGCAAACGUGAUUUUGGUGUAGGCGUGGGCCAUUUGGAACAUGAAUUUGGUGGUUUUCAGUGCUUUCUUUUUCUGCUUAUGGUCGUCUGCUGUGUGUUGAGUUUAUAAAGUUUGGAAUGGUUGUAAUUGUUCAUGAUCUUCUUUUCUUUGUUUUAGGUUUUAAAAUAGUCUGUCUGUUUUUUUUAUGUGGAAUAACUAUCUUUUGAAGCUGCUUUGCAAGUUCAACUUCCCCGUUGAAUGCUUUACGACUAUUCUGUUAUUAUUGAGAGUUUCACAAUCUUAA